AACGAACGCUGGCGGCAGGCUUAACACAUGCAAGUCGAGCGAAGACUUCGGUCUUAGCGGCGGACGGGUGAGUAACGCGUGGGAACGUACCCUUUACUUCGGAAUAGCCUCUGGAAACGGAGAGUAAUACCGAAUGUGCCCUUUGGGGGAAAGAUUUAUCGGUAAAGGAUCGGCCCGCGUUAGAUUAGGUAGUUGGUGGGGUAAUGGCCUACCAAGCCUACGAUCUAUAGCUGGUUUGAGAGGAUGAUCAGCCACACUGGGACUGAGACACGGCCCAGACUCCUACGGGAGGCAGCAGUGGGGAAUCUUGGACAAUGGGGGCAACCCUGAUCCAGCCAUGCCGCGUGAGUGAUGAAGGCCUUAGGGUCGUAAAGCUCUUUCGCCAGGGAUGAUAAUGACAGUACCUGGUAAAGAAACCCCGGCUAACUCCG
rnacentral:rRNA from 1 species